UGUGUAGGUGGACGUGUAAGAUAGCGGUGAAAUGCCGGAGCUCAACUUCGGAAUUGCCAUUAUAACUAUGCGUCUAGAAUUAUAGGGAGGAUAGCGGAAUACCCAGUGUAGAGGUGAAAUUCGUAGAUAUUGGGUAGAACACCAGUGGCGAAGGCGGCUAUCUGGCUAUAUAUUGACACUGAGGCACGAAAGCAUGGGGAUCAAACA
rnacentral:rRNA from 1 species